UGGGGAAUAUUGGGCAAUGGGCGAAAGCCUGACCCAGCAACGCCGCGUGAAGGAAGAAGGUCUUUGGAUUGUAAACUUUUGUCCUAUGGGAAGAAGGAAGUGACGGUACCAUGGGAGGAAGCCCCGGCUAACUACGUGCCAGCAGCCGCGGUAAUACGUAGGGGGCGAGCGUUGUCCGGAAUUACUGGGCGUAAAGGGCGCGCAGGCGGCCGAUCAAGUUAGAUGUGAAAUACCUGGGCUUAACCUGGGAACUGCAUUUAAACUGGUUGGCUAGGAGUGCAGGAGAGGGAAGCGGAAUUCCUAGUGUAGCGGUGAAAUGCGUAGAUAUUAGGAGGACACCAGUGGCGAAGGCGGCUUUCUGGACUGUAACUGACGCUGAGGCGCGAAAGCGUGGGGAGCGAACAGGAUUAGAUACC
rnacentral:rRNA from 1 species